AGACCCGAAACCGGGUGAUCUAUCCAUGGCCAGGGUGAAGGUUAGGUAACACUGACUGGAGGCCCGAACCCACUUAUGUUGAAAAAUGAGGGGAUGAGCUGUGGAUAGGAGUGAAAGGCUAAUCAAACCCGGAGAUAGCUGGUUCUCUUCGAAAACUAUUUAGGUAGUGCCUCAUGUAUUACCAUUGGGGGUAGAGCACUGUUUCGGCUAGGGGGUCAUCCCGACUUACCAAACCGAUGCAAACUCCGAAUACCAAUGAGUACGAGCAUGGGAGACAGACUGCGGGUGCUAACGUCCGUAGUCGAGAGGGAAACAACCCAGACCGUCAGCUAAGGUCCCAAAUUAUGAUUAAGUGGGAAACAAUGUGGGAAGGCACAAACAGCUAGGAGGUUGGCUUAGAAGCAGCCAUCCUUUAAAGAAAGCGUAAUAGCUCACUAGUCGAGUCGGCCUGCGUGGAAGAUAUAACGGGGCUAAAUCAUAAACCGAAGCUACGGAUCUUAAAUUUAUUUAAGAUGGUAGAAGAGCGUUCUGUAAGCGGUUGAAGGUAAGCUGUAAGGCGAACUGGACGUAUCAGAAGUGCGAAUGUUGACAUGAGUAACGAUCAAAGAGGUGAAAAACCUCUUCGCCGAAAAUCCAAGGUUUCCUGUCCAACGCUAAUCGUGGCAGGGUGAGUCGGCUCCUAAGGCGAGGGCGAAAGCCGUAGUCGAUGGAAAACAGGUUAAUAUUCCUGUACUUCUUAUAAUUGCGAUGGGGUGACGGAGAAGGUUAGGCUAGCACGGCGACGGUUGUCCGUGUUCAAGGUUGUAGACUGAGAUUCUAGGUAAAUCCGGAGUCUCUUAAGGUCAAGAACUGAUAACGACCACUCUUUUGAGUGGGAAGUAGUCGAUACCAUGCUUCCAGGAAAAACCUCUAAGCGUCAGAUUAUAAGAAACCGUACCCCAAACCGACACAGGUGGAUAAGUCGAGAAGACUAAGGUGUUUGAGAGAACUAUGGUGAAGGAACUAGGCAAAAUGGUACCGUAACUUCGGGAGAAGGUACGCCACCAUUGGUGAUGAGACUUGCUCUUUAAGCUGAUGGUGGUCGAAGAUACUAGGUGGCUGCGACUGUUUAUUAAAAACAUAGCACUCUGCAAAAUCGUAAGAUGACGUAUAGGGUGUGACGCCUGCCCGGUGCCGGAAGGUUAAUUGAUGGGGUUAGCUUCGGCGAAGCUCCUGAUCGAAGCCCCGGUAAACGGCGGCCGUAACUAUAACGGUCCUAAGGUAGCGAAAUUCCUUGUCGGGUAAGUUCCGACCUGCACGAAUGGCGUAACGAUGGCCACACUGUCUCCACCAUAGACUCAGUGAAAUUGAAAUCGCUGUUAAGAUGCAGUGUUCCCGCAGCUAGACGGAAAGACCCCGUGCACCUUUACUAUAGGUUCACACUGGACUUUGACUUUAUUUGUGUAGGAUAGGUGGGAGACUUUGAAACUGAGACGCUAGUCUUAGUGGAGUCGUCCUUGAAAUACCACCCUUGUAAAGUUGAGGCUCUAACUCAGGUCCAUUAUCUGGAUCGAGGACAGUGUGUGCUGGGUAGUUUGACUGGGGCGGUCUCCUCCCAAAGAGUAACGGAGGAGUACGAAGGUAUCCUAAGCAUGGUCGGACAUCAUGCAGAUAGUAUAAAGGCAUAAGGAUGCUUGACUGCGAGACUGACGGGUCGAGCAGGUAGGAAACUAGGUCUUAGUGAUCCGGUGGUUCUGAAUGGAAGGGCCAUCGCUCAACGGAUAAAAGGUACGCCGGGGAUAACAGGCUGAUACCCCCCAAGAGUUCACAUCGACGGGGGUGUUUGGCACCUCGAUGUCGGCUCAUCACAUCCUGGGGCUGGAGCAGGUCCCAAGGGUAUGGCUGUUCGCCAUUUAAAGUGGUACGCGAGCUGGGUUUAGAACGUCGUGAGACAGUUCGGUCCCUAUCUGCUGUGGGCGUUGGAGAUUUGAGGGAAGCUGAUUCUAGUACGAGAGGACCGAAUUGGACGAACCUCUGGUGUUCCGGUUGUCACGCCAGUGGCAUUGCCGGGUAGCUAUGUUCGGAAGGGAUAACCGCUGAAAGCAUCUAAGCGGGAAGCCUCUCCCAAGAUUAGAUCUCCCAUAGACUUCGGUCUACUAAAGAGUCGUCAUAGACUAUGACGUUGAUAGGCAAGGUGUGUAAGCGCUGUGAGGCGUUGAGCUAACUUGUACUAAUAACUCGUGAGGCUUGAUCAU
rnacentral:rRNA from 1 species